CAGUCGCCGCGGGAAUACAGAGGGUGCGAGCGUUAAUCGGAUUUACUGGGCGUAAAGCGUGCGUAGGCGGCUUCUUAAGUCGGAUGUGAAAUCCCCGGGCUUAACCUGGGAACUGCAUUUGAAACUGGCAGGCUAGAGUCUUGUAGAGGGGGGUAGAAUUCCAGGUGUAGCGGUGAAAUGCGUAGAGAUCUGGAGGAAUACCGGUGGCGAAGGCGGCCCCCUGGACAAAGACUGACGCUCAGGUGCGAAAGCGUGGGGAGCAAACAGGAUUAGAUACCCGCGUAGUCCCUGUCUCUUAUAA
rnacentral:rRNA from 1 species